GAUGAACGCUGGCGGCGUGCCUAAUACAUGCAAGUCGAGCGAACAGACGAGGAGCUUGCUCCUCUGACGUUAGCGGCGGACGGGUGAGUAACACGUGGAUAACCUACCUAUAAGACUGGGAUAACUUCGGGAAACCGGAGCUAAUACCGGAUAAUAUAUUGAACCGCAUGGUUCAAUAGUGAAAGACGGUUUUGCUGUCACUUAUAGAUGGAUCCGCGCCGCAUUAGCUAGUUGGUAAGGUAACAGCUUACCAAGGCAACGAUGCGCAGCCGACCUGAGAGGGUGAUCGGCCACACUGGAACUGAGACACGGCCCAGACUCCUACGGGAGGCAGCAGUAGGGAAUCUUCCGCAAUGGGCGAAAGCCUGACGGAGCAACGCCGCGUGAGUGAUGAAGGUCUUCGGAUCGUAAAACUCUGUUAUUAGGGAAGAACAAAUGUGUAAGUAACUAUGCACGUCUUGACGGUACCUAAUCAGAAAGCCACGGCUAACUACGUG
rnacentral:rRNA from 1 species